rnacentral:lncRNA from 1 species
UGGUCUGAUUUUCUUUUGAAUUUUACUCAUAAGUUUUCAAGGAAGCCCAAAGAAGGGAGGAGAUUUGGUUGUUUAAGUGGGUGGGAGGAGGCAGAAAAUAGGAUCAGAAAUUUGAAUUGGGUGAGAAAGCCACGCUGCACUGGAAAAGGAUGAGGAAAUGGGAAGUUCUGGAGAAGACAUUUAUGACCAGAACAGACUAAGUGUUCCCUACAGACUCCUCAGGAUGCCAGGAAGAGAUGGCAGAAGAAGCCCACCAGUGACCCAGAAAGGCAAACACAUCCCCAGAAGUCAGGGCAGCCAAAGCUGGUAAGGUGACUCUGAAAUAUUAGACCAAAGCUAAGCUUGCCUUCUGUUGGUAUAAUUUUUUUGGAAGUAAAGAGACAAAGAACUGUAUAAAAUAGCCUGUCCCUCCUGGC